rnacentral:rRNA from 1 species
GCCGAGCUCCCCAAACGUUAUUCGGUAUCACUGGGCUUAAAGAGUUCGUAGGCGGUCUGGUAGGUGAGGUGUGAAAGCCCCGGGCUUAACCCGGGAAUGGCGUUGAAAACUGCUUGAACUGGAGGGUCGGAGGGGGGACUGGAAUUCUUGGUGUAGCAGUGAAAUGCGUAGAUAUCAAGAGGAACACCAGUGGCGAAGGCGAGUCCCUGGACGAUACCUGACACUGAGGCACGAAAGCCAAGGGAGCAAACAGG